ACCUUAACAGCUAGCCCACCCCCUUAAAUUCAACAAACGACAUUAACUAAACCCAAAAUCACUAAUUGUGAACUACUAAACCAUUCUCCCUCCUUAGUAUUGGAGAAAGAACAGGAGCUUGGCGCGAUAGAGAAGUACCGCAAGGGAAAGCUGAAAGAGAGAUGAAACAGCCCAGUCAAGGAACCUAUAAAGCAGAGAUCAGAUCUCGUACCUUUUGCAUCAUGAUCUAGCCAGUCAAAUUCGAGCGAAGUGCACUGUAUGUUCGAAACCCCGAAACUGGGCGAGCUACCCCGAGGCAGCCUACUAAAGGGCUAACCCGUCUCUGUGGCAAAAGAGUGGGAAGACCUCCGGGUAGGGGUGACAGACCUACCGAGCUCAGUAAUAGCUGGUUUCCUGGGAACCGAAUAGAAGUUCGGCCUUCUGAUUUCUCACACCAAAUGUGGUCAGACCUACUACCGGCACGAGAACAUCAAGAGAGUUAUUCUGAUGGGGUACAGCCCGUCCGAAAGUGGAU
rnacentral:rRNA from 1 species